rnacentral:tRNA from 1 species
UCCCUGGUGGUCCAGUGGUUAAGACUGCUCUUCUACUACAGUGGGUACAGGUUCAAUUCCUGGUCGGGGAA